rnacentral:rRNA from 1 species
ACAUUCCUACAACAUAGUGCUAAUAUGUCGAAUCCCAUUAGAAGUCCAUAGUGAAAAACACUUAUGCUAGAGUAGUAUUGAGAUGGGUGACCGCUCAUGAAGUCUUAAUGUUUCACAUGUC